rnacentral:rRNA from 1 species
GACGAACGCUGGCGGCGUGCCUAAUACAUGCAAGUCGAACGCAGUGGGGACGGGUGAGUAACACGUGGGUAACCUCCCAUCAGAGGGGAUAACACUUGGAAACAGGUGCUAAACCGAUACUGAUGGAUGCACCCGCGGUGCAUUAGCUAGUUGGUGAGGUAACGGCUCACCAAGGCCACGAUGCAUAGCGGACCGGAGAGGGUGAGUGGCCACACUGGGACUGAGACACGGCCCAGACUCCUACGGGAGGCAGCAGUAGGGAAUAUUGGGCAAUGGACGAAAGCCUGACGGAGCAAUGCCGCGUGAGUGAAGAAGGUGUUCGGGUCGUAAAAUGCUUUUAGUAGGGAAGCGUUACCGAACCAGAAAGCCACGGCUAACUACGUGCCAGCAGCCGCGGUAAUAC